UCCUGCCUCCGAUAGCAACGAAAAGCCCGUAAGGGAAGCGCCCAUUAAAAAACAAAACCCAUAAAGCGACCAGCGGAAGCUUGUUUUGGGUUUCUGUUUUUAGGGCAAUGACUGCGGACUUGUAGUGUAUAGCGGAAAAUGGC
rnacentral:misc_RNA from 1 species